rnacentral:rRNA from 1 species
UACGGAGGGUGCAAGCGUUAAUCGGAAUUACUGGGCGUAAAGCGCGCGUAGGCGGUUGCGUAAGUCAGAUGUGAAAGCCCCGCGCUUAACCUGGGAACUGCAUUUGAUACUGUGUGACUCGAGUAUGGUAGAGGGGGGUGGAAUUCCCGGAGUAGCGGUGAAAUGCGUAGAUAUCGGGAGGAACACCAGUGGCGAAGGCGGCCCCCUGGCCCAAUACUGACGCUGAGGUGCGAAAGCGUGGGGAGCAAACAGG